AGAUGGCGACCGGCGCACGGUGAGUAACACGUAUCCAACCUGCCGAUAACUCGGGGAUAGCCUUUCGAAAGAAAGAUUAAUACCCGAUGGCAUAAUAGAACCGCAUGGUUUGAUUAUUAAAGAAUUUCGGUUAUCGAUGGGGAUGCGUUCCAUUAGGCAGUUGGUGGGGUAACGGCCCACCAAACCUUCGAUGGAUAGGGGUUCUGAGAGGAAGGUCCCCCACAUUGGAACUGAGACACGGUCCAA
rnacentral:rRNA from 1 species